rnacentral:rRNA from 1 species
AUGGCCACGCGGAACCGGACGCCGCUCUUCCGCAAGUACCGCGACGCGCUGCGCCACGUCCGCGCGCCGGCCGGGGCGCCCUCCGCCUCCUCCUCCUCCUCCUCCCCCGGCGGCGGGCCGGCGGUGGUCGAGAUGGCCUCGCUGCUCCGCCCCGACCGCAACUACGCGCCCCUCAGCACCGACGACCCCUCCGCCUCCUCCAGUAGAGGUGCGGCGACGGUUGGGCUGCCACCAGCCUGGGUGGAUGUUUCCGAAGAGAUAUCUGCGAACAUGCAGCGGGCAAAGACGAAGAUGGCCGAGCUGGCUAAGGCGCACGCCAAGGCCUUGAUGCCGUCCUUCGGCGAUGGCAGAGAUGAUCAGCGAGCAAUUGAGAUUCUCACGCACGAGAUAACAGACCUGCUGAAGAGGUCAGAAAAGAAGCUGCAGAAGCUGUCCAUGAAAGACUCCUCAGAAGAUUCGAAUGUCAGAAAGAAUGUCCAGCGUUCCCUUGCUACAGACCUGCAAACUCUUUCGAUGGAGUUCAGGAAAAAGCAGUCAACUUAUUUGAAGCAGCUUCGCCAACAGAAAGAGGGGCAAGAUGGUGUUGAUUUAGAAAUGAAUAUGAAUGGGUCUAAGUCGACAUUUGAACUUGAAGAUGAUGAAUUUGAGGAUGUGGGUUUCACUGAGGUUCAGAUGUCAAAACUUAAGAAAAGCGAAGCAUUCACUAGAGAAAGGGAGAGAGAAAUCGAACAGGUUGCCCAAUCAGUCAAUGAGCUUGCACAGAUCAUGAAGGAUCUUUCAGUUCUUGUGAUUGAUCAGGGAACAAUUGUUGAUCGGAUAGACUACAAUGUACAGAAUGUUGCGGCCUCAGUCGAAGAGGGCUAUAAACAGUUGCAAAAGGCUGAGAGGACGCAGAAGAAAGGGGGCAUGGUGAUGUGUGCCACUGUCCUCGUCAUUCUUAUCUUCAUCCUGAUAAUCCUCCUGGUUUUGAAGAAGAUCCUUUUCUGA